rnacentral:rRNA from 1 species
UGAGUACGAGAUGCUACGGCAUCGAAGCAGUCUAUGUCAUACUUCCAAGAAAAGCUUGCAAUGUCAUAAACAAAUAAUGCCUGUACCAUAACCGACACAGGUGGGUAGGUAGAGUAUACUAAGGGGCGCGAGAUAACUCUCUCUAAGGAACUCGGCAAAAUGACUCCGUAACUUCGGGAGAAGGAGUGCCUUAUUUUUAUAAGGUUGCAAUAACAAGAUCCAAGCAACUGUUUACCAAAAACACAGGUCUCCGCUAAGUCGUAAGACGAUGUAUGGGGGCUGACGCCUGCCCAGUGCCAGAAGGUUAAAGAAGUUGGUUAGCAUUAGCGAAGCUGAUAACUGAAGCCCUGGUGAACGGCGGCCGUAACAAUAACGGUCCUAAGGUAGCGAAAUUCCUUGUCGGGUAAGUUCCGACCCGCACGAAAGGCGUAAUGAUUUGGAUACUGUCUCGGAGAGGGGCUCGGUGAAAUAGACUUGUCUGUGAAGAUGCGGACUACCUGCACCUGGACAGAAAGACCCUAUGAAGCUUUACUGUAACUUGAGAUUGAAAUUGGACUUUAUCUGCGCAGUAUAGGUGGGAGACGUUGAAAAUAUUCUUGCGGGAAUAUUGGAGUCAUCAGUGAGAUACCACUCUUAUAAUGUUAGAUUUCUAACUUUGUAUCAUUAUCUGGUCAAAGAACAGUUUCAGGCGGGCAGUUUGACUGGGGCGGUCGCCUCCCAAACGGUAACGGAGGCGCACAAAGGUUUCCUCUGAACGUGUAGAAAUCGUAUCUAGAGUGUAAAGGCAUAAGGAAGCUUGACUGUGAGACCUACAAGUCGAGCAGGGACGAAAGUCGGUCUUAGUGAUCUGACGGUGCUGAGUGGAAAGGCCGUCACUCAACGGAUAAAAGUUACUCUAAGGAUAACAGGCUGAUCUCCCCCGAGAGUUCACAUCGACGGGGAGGUUUGGCACCUCUAUGUCGGCUCAUCGCAUCCUGGGGCGGUAGUACGUCCCAAGGGUUGGGCUGUUCGCCCAUGAAAGCGGUACGCGAGCUGGGUUCAGAACGUCGUGAGACAGUUCGGUCCAUAUCCGGUGUAGGCGUUAGAAUAUUGAGAGGAGCCUUCUUUAGUACGAGAGGACCGAGAAGGACAUACCUCUGGUGUACCAGUUAUCGUGCCAACGGUAAACGCUGGGUAGCCAUGUAUGGAGAGGAUAACCGCUGAAAGCAUCUAAGUGGGAAGCCCACCUCAAGAUAAGUAUUCC